CGAGCGAGACCCACGCCCACAGUUGCCAGCGUACUCUCUGGACGUGACGGGUACACGUGUGGGGACCGCCGCUGCUAAAGCGGAGGAAGGAAUGGGCAACGGUAGGUCAGUAUGCCCCGAAUAUCCCGGGCUACACGCGAGCUACAAUGGGUGGGACAAUGGGUAUCGACACCGAAAGGUGAGGGCAAUCUCCUAAACCCAUCCGUAGUUCGGAUUGUGGGCUGCAACUCGCCCACAUGAAGCUGGAAUCUGUAGUAAUCGUGUCUCAAAAUGGCACGGUGAAUAUGUCCCUGCUCCUU
rnacentral:rRNA from 1 species